CAUCACAUCACUUUUUAAAACAUUUUCAGCUAUUCAUAUCUUUGAUAGUUGUUUUUGAACUCUUUGUGAACAAAUGAUGUUACAUUAUGUCAGUCACAUCACUUUUUGAAUAAUGUUAAUGUGACGAAUUGUA
ensembl:ncRNA C10A4.11 ncRNA